rnacentral:rRNA from 1 species
GACGAACGCUGGCGGCGUGCUUAACACAUGCAAGUCGAACGGAAAGGCCCUGCUUUUGUGGGGUGCUCGAGUGGCGAACGGGUGAGUAACACGUGAGUAACCUGCCCUUGACUUGGGGAUAACUUCAGGAAACUGGGGCUAAUACCGGAUAGGAGCUCCUGCGGCAUGGUGGGGGUUGGAAAGUUUCGGCGGUUGGGGAUGGACUGCGGGCUUAUCAGCUUGUGGGUGGGGUAGUGGCUUACCAAGGCUUUGACGGGUAGCCGGCCUGAGAGGGUGACCGGCCACAUUGGGACUGAGAUACGGCCCAGACUCCUACGGGAGGCAGCAGUGGGGAAUAUUGCACAAUGGGCGGAAGCCUGAUGCAGCAACGCCGCGUGCGGGAUGACGGCCUUCGGGUUGUAAACCGCUUUCGCCUGUGACGAAGCGUGAGUGACGGUAAUGGGUAAAGAAGCACCGGCUAACUACGUG